rnacentral:rRNA from 1 species
CAUGCAAGUCGUACGAGAAAGCCUUCGGGCAAGUAGAGUGGCGAACGGGUGAGUAACACGUGGGUAACCUACCUUCGGAUUUGGGAUAACACUUCGAAAGGGGUGCUAAUACCAAAUAUGACCACAGAGUCUAAUGACUCAGAGGUAAAAGAUGGCCUCUCCAUGGAAGCUAUCGUCCAUUGAUGGGCCCGCGUUCCAUUAGCUUGUUGGUAGGGUAAUGGCCUACCAAGGCGACGAUGGAUAGCCGACUUGAGAGGGUGAUCGGCCACACUGGGACUGAGAUACGGCCCAGACUCCUACGGGAGGCAGCAGUGGGGAAUAUUGCGCAAUGGGGGAAACCCUGACGCAGCGACGCCGCGUGGAGGAUGAAGGCCCUUGGGUCGUAAACUCCUGUCAAAAACGAAGAAAGACAUUCUGUAUAACACACAUUUUGUUUGACUGUAGUUUUAAAGGAAGCUCCGGCUAACUCCGUGCCAGCAGCCGCGGUAAUACGGAGGGAGCAAGCGUUGCUCGGAAUCACUGGGCGUAAAGAGCGUGUAGGCGGAAUGAAUAGUCAAAUGUGAAAGCCCCGGGCUCAACCCGGGAAGUGCAUCCGAUACUGUCAUUCUUGAGGUCGAGAGGGGAGAGCGGAAUUCCUGGUGUAGCGGUGAAAUGCGUAGAUAUCAGGAAGAACACCUGUGGCGAAGGCGGCUCUCUGGAUCGAUUCUGACGCUGAGACGCGAAAGCUAGGGGAGCAAACGGGAUUAGAUACCCCGGUAGUCCUAGCCGUAAACGAUGGGCACUAGGUGUAGGAGGUAUUGACCCCUUCUGUGCCGGAGCUAACGCAUUAAGUGCCCCGCCUGGGGAGUACGGUCGCAAGACUAAAACUCAAAGGAAUUGACGGGGGCCCGCACAAGCGGUGAGCAUGUGUUUAAUUCGACGCACGCGAAGAACUUGCUGGUUGAAGUGUAUGGAACACCCGUGAAACACGGCUUCUCUUCGAGCCAUAUAGAGUGCUGCAUGCUGUCGUCACUCGUGUCGUGAGAUGUUGGGUAGUCCGCACGAGCGCACCCUACAUAGUGCAGCGAGUAUGUCGACUCUAUGGACUGUCGCGAUAGCGAGAAGGUGGGAUGACGUCAGUCUCAUGCUACGUCAGGCUACCACUGCUCAUGUACAUACAGGGACGAUCCGAAUGAACAAUCCAAAAGGUACUCAGUUCGGAUCUGAAGACACUG